rnacentral:lncRNA from 1 species
CUGAGCGGGAGGGGCCGCACUCGCUCUUCGGGCGAGCCUGCGCCAACCUCAGCUCCGGCCUCCCUGGCCAGGGACGAUCACCUCUACAGGACGGCAGCGGGGAGUGAGUGAUGGAGCUGGAAAUGGG